CAGGCUUAACACAUGCAAGUCGAGGGGCAGCAUGGUCUUAGCUUGCUAAGGCCGAUGGCGACCGGCGCACGGGUGAGUAACACGUAUCCAACCUGCCGUCUACUCUUGGACAGCCUUCUGAAAGGAAGAUUAAUACAAGAUGGCAUCAUGAGUCCACAUGUUCACAUGAUUAAAGGUAUUCCGGUAGACGAUGGGGAUGCGUUCCAUUAGAUAGUAGGCGGGGUAACGGCCCACCUAGUCUUCGAUGGAUAGGGGUUCUGAGAGGAAGGUCCCCCACAUUGGAACUGAGACACGGUCCAAACUCCUACGGGAGGCAGCAGUGAGGAAUAUUGGUCAAUGGGCGAGAGCCUGAACCAGCCAAGUAGCGUGAAGGAUGACUGCCCUAUGGGUUGUAAACUUCUUUUAUAAAGGAAUAAAGUCGGGUAUGCAUACCCGUUUGCAUGUACUUUAUGAAUAAGGAUCGGCUAACUCCGUGCCAGCAGCCGCGGUAAUACGGAGGAUCCGAGCGUUAUCCGGAUUUAUUGGGUUUAAAGGGAGCGUAGAUGGAUGUUUAAGUCAGUUGUGAAAGUUUGCGGCUCAACCGUAAAAUUGCAGUUGAUACUGGAUAUCUUGAGUGCAGUUGAGGCAGGCGGAAUUCGUGGUGUAGCGGUGAAAUGCUUAGAUAUCACGAAGAACUCCGAUUGCGAAGGCAGCCUGCUAAGCUGCAACUGACAUUGAGGCUCGAAAGUGUGGGUAUCAAACAGGAUUAGAUACCCUGGUAGUCCACACGGUAAACGAUGAAUACUCGCUGUUUGCGAUAUACAGCAAGCGGCCAAGCGAAAGCGUUAAGUAUUCCACCUGGGGAGUACGCCGGCAACGGUGAAACUCAAAGGAAUUGACGGGGGCCCGCACAAGCGGAGGAACAUGUGGUUUAAUUCGAUGAUACGCGAGGAACCUUACCCGGGCUUAAAUUGCAGAUGAAUUACGGUGAAAGCCGUAAGCCGCAAGGCAUCUGUGAAGGUGCUGCAUGGUUGUCGUCAGCUCGUGCCGUGAGGUGUCGGCUUAAGUGCCAUAACGAGCGCAACCCUUGUUGUCAGUUACUAACAGGUCAUGCUGAGGACUCUGACAAGACUGCCAUCGUAAGAUGUGAGGAAGGUGGGGAUGACGUCAAAUCAGCACGGCCCUUACGUCCGGGGCUACACACGUGUUACAAUGGGGGGUACAGAGGGCCGCUACCACGCGAGUGGAUGCCAAUCCCAAAAACCUCUCUCAGUUCGGACUGGAGUCUGCAACCCGACUCCACGAAGCUGGAUUCGCUAGUAAUCGCGCAUCAGCCACGGCGCGGUGAAUACGUUCCCGGGCCUUGUACACACCGCCCGUCAAGCCAUGGGAGCCGGGGGUACCUGAAGUGCGUAACCGCGAGGAGCGCCCUAGGGUAAAACUGGUGACUGGGGCUAAGUCG
rnacentral:rRNA from 1 species